CUUGUGUUCGAUUGAUUGAUAGAUGUCUCAUUACAAGGCCCUAGGGUCUACAUUUAUACCCUGCUCAAAGAGCUAUAAUCAGACUCGACUAGGACUCGAAUUCCAAAUUAAACAGAAUCCAUAUACAAAACAAAUUUAAAUAACUAAGAAAAACAUAAAACCACCACUUCGUAACCGACCGGAACACCGCCACAGAUCAAUCGGCAACCUCCACGCUUCCCUUCAGAUUCAUCGGCAGUCUUCCUGUUAUAGCCAUCGGCAAACACCAAUAUUAAUCAUCGGC
rnacentral:lncRNA from 1 species